UACGAAGGGGGCUAGCGUUGUUCGGAAUCACUGGGCGUAAAGGGCGCGUAGGCGGCCGAUCAAGUCGGGGGUGAAAGCCUGUGGCUCAACCACAGAAUGGCCUUCGAUACUGUUUGGCUUGAGACCGGAAGAGGUCAGUGGAACUGCGAGUGUAGAGGUGAAAUUCGUAGAUAUUCGCAAGAACACCAGUGGCGAAGGCGGCUUACUGGUCCGGUUCUGACGCUGAGGCGCGAAAGCGUGGGGAGCAAACAGG
rnacentral:rRNA from 1 species